rnacentral:rRNA from 1 species
GCAAACGCUGGCGGCGUGCCUAAUACAUGCAAGUCGAACGGGGAAGUACCUUCGGGUAUUGUACUAGUGGCGGACGGGUGAGUAACACGUGGGUAAUCUGCCCUCAAGCGGGGAAUAACCAGUCGAAAGAUUGGCUAAUACCGCAUAAGACCAUAGUUUCUGCGGAAACAGGGGUCAAAGGCUUCGGCCACUUGAGGAUGAGCCUGCGCCCGAUUAGUUAGUUGGCGGGGUAAUGGCCCACCAAGACGAUGAUCGGUAGCUGGUCUGAGAGGAUGAUCAGCCACAUUGGGACUGAGGACACGGCCCAAACUCCUACGGGAGGCAGCAGUAGGGAAUAUUGCACAAUGGAGGAAAACUCUGAUGCAGCGGACGCCGCGUGAGUGAUGAAGGCUUUCGGGUUGUAAAGCUCUGUUCUUAGGGAAAAAGAAAGUGAUUGUACCUAAGGAGAAAGGACCGGCUAACUCCGUGCCAGCAGCCGCGGUAAGACGGGGGGUCCAAGCGUUGCUCGGAAUCAUUGGGCGUAAAGAGGGCGUAGGUGGCUUUGUAAGUCAGGAGUGAAAGCCCUGGGCUCAACCCAGGAAGUGCUUUUGAUACUGUGAAGCUUGAAUGUGGUAGAGGAUAGUAGAAUUCCUGGUGUAGUGGUGAAAUACGUAGAUAUCAGGAGGAAUACCUGAGGCGAAGGCGGCUAUCUGGACCAACAUUGACACUGAGGCCCGAAAGCGUGGGGAUCAAACGGGAUUAGAUACCCUGGUAGUCCACGCCGUAAACGAUGGAUACUUGUUGUUGGUGGUAUUGACCCCAUCAGUGACGAAGCUAACGCGUUAAGUAUCCCGCCUGGGGAGUACGGUCGCAAGAUUAAAAACUCAAAGAAAUUGACGGGGGCCCGCACAAGCGGUGGAGCAUGUGGUUUAAUUCGAUGCAACGCGAAGAACCUUACCUAGAUUUGACAUGUAUUGGAAGGAUCUCAGAAAUGAGUCCGCCUUCGGGCCGAUACACAGGUGCUGCAUGGCUGUCGUCAGCUCGUGUCGUGAGGUGUUGGGUUAAGUCCCGCAACGAGCGCAACCCUCGUGUUUUAGUUGCCAGCAUUCAGUUGGGCACUCUAAACAGACUGCCGACGUUAAGUCGGAGGAAGGUGGGGAUGACGUCAAGUCCUCAUGGCCUUUAUAUCUAGGGCUACACACGUGCUACAAUGGUCGGUACAGAGGGCAGCCAAAUAGUAAUAUGGAGCCAAUCCCUUAAAGCCGAUCUAAGUUCAGAUUGAGGUCUGCAACUCGACCUCAUGAAGGUGGAAUCGCUAGUAAUCGCGGAUCAGAAACGCCGCGGUGAAUACGUUCCCGGGCCUUGUACACACCGCCCGUCACACCAUGAAAGUUGGUCGUACCAGAAGUCGCUGCGCUAACCGCAAGGAGGCAGGCGCCCAAGGUAUGGUUAAUGAUUGGGGUG